rnacentral:tRNA from 1 species
CAGAAAUGAAGAACUUAUCUUCUUAGGACA